GGAGUGGCCUCGUGGUUUAUGAUUCUCGCUUCGGGUGCGAGAGGUCCCGGGCUCGAUUCCCGGUGAGGCCC
rnacentral:tRNA from 1 species